rnacentral:rRNA from 1 species
CUCUCGGGGUUCAGCCUUGCUGAAUUAUUCACCCUUGUCUUUUGCGUACUUCUUGUUUCCUUGGUGGGUUCGCCCACCACUAGGACAAACAUAAACCUUUUGUAAUUGCAAUCAGCGUCAGUAACAAAUUAAUAAUUACAACUUUCAACAACGGAUCUCUUGGUUCUGGCAUCGAUGAAGAACGCAGCGAAAUGCGAUAAGUAGUGUGAAUUGCAGAAUUCAGUGAAUCAUCGAAUCUUUGAACGCACAUUGCGCCCUUUGGUAUUCCAAAGGGCAUGCCUGUUCGAGCGUCAUUUGUACCCUCAAGCUUUGCUUGGUGUUGGGCGUCUUGUCUCUAGCUUUGCUGGAGACUCGCCUUAAAGUAAUUGGCAGCCGGCCUACUGGUUUCGGAGCGCAGCACAAGUCGCACUCUCUAUCAGCAAAGGUCUAGCAUCCAUUAAGCCUUUUUUUCAACUUUUGACCUCGGAUCAGGUAGGGAUACCCGCUGAACUUAAGCAU